UCAUUAUCUUCCAGCUGAAAGAGCUUUACAACCCUAAGGCCUUCAUUCACUCACGCGGCAUUGCUGGAUCAGGCUUGCGCCCAUUGUCCAAUAUUCCCCACUGCUGCCUCCCGUAGGAGUA
rnacentral:rRNA from 1 species